rnacentral:rRNA from 1 species
GUCAAUUGCCUAACGGCUGAACCAGCAACUUGGGAGGAAUGUAUAGCGAAAGCUAGUUGUAUGAAAAUAUACAAUAUCAAAUAGUUGAAUAAAAUUCUGGAUAUAAUUUGAUAAUGACAUUUUUUAUUCAUAUGUCUUGACCAAAAAACGUGCCAGCAGUCGCGGUAACACGUUUAAGACUAGUGUUAUUCAUCUUUAAUAGGUUUAAAGGGUACUUAGACGGUAGAUAAAGCCUUUAUGGAACUAAUCUGCUAGAGUUACUUGUGAGGGGGCCUAAAAGUACUAUUGGUUUAGAGAUAAAAUUCUACGAGACCACCUUUCAAAGGGAUAGUAAAUGGCACAGGUAAAGGCGAAAGCGUCCUCCUAUGUGAUAACUGACGUUGAAGGACGAAGGCUUUGAAUAGCGAAUAGGAUUAGAUACCCUAGUAGUCGAAGCAGAAAAUGAUGAGUGUCAUAAGUUAGACAUAUGUUUAGUUUAUAAAUGAAAAUGUAAGCACUCCACCUUAUGAGUAAAGUGGCAACGCCGGAAUUGAAAUCAUUAGACCGUUUCUGAAACCAGUAGUGAAGUAUGUUGUUUAAUUUGAUGACCCACAAAAAACCUUACCACAACUUGAAUAUUUAUCUCUUAUUUUAUUACACGAAUAAAAGAUAUUUACAAGCGUUGCACGGCUGUCUUCAGUUAAUGUCGUGAGAUUUGGUUAGAUCCAUUAAAUUAACGUAAACCCUUGCAUUAUUUAUAAAUAAUGCAGUUCAUCCUCCACAACGGAUAUGAUAACAGGGACUAAGACAAGUCAUCAUGGCCCGAA